CUCUCCCCGCGGGAGCCCCACUUUUCCCCUCCCCCCAUUCCCGGUGCUUGGCUUCGAGGCGUAGGUAGCAGCGCCUCUCUGACUCCCCCGUUGUCCUGUGCUGCACCAUCUACAGAUGGUCUGCGCCUGGCAGGUCACAACAGGUCCGAAUCCACAGCACGCGGCUUACUUAGACUUGGGUGUUUUAGUGGCUCCGGGCACAACCGUUGCUCUGGCUAAUUAGCCCAGAUCGUUAUUCCCCCCACCCCCUCCCCCCCACCCCCCUCAUCUAGGAGAAACAUAAGGAAGGCUGAUAAAUGUCCCCAUCUAUAUGGUUUCCUCCCCCAAUCCUUUUGGGUCGUGAGCUUUAUCCUUACAGACCACCGAGUCUUCGACCACCCCUCCACCCCCGCCGACGCUCUCAGUGCUGGGUCGCUGCUUCUCUUUCAAGUUCUUCCGCCAACAGAGGCUCCGUGUACCCAUGCGAUGCCAACAAUGGCCACUAGAGGACACCAUAGUCACGCGGUCUCUGUGAGACCCCUGCAAAUGGGCUGCAUUGGCUAUGUGUCUGCUUGGAUUAGGAUUUGGACAAUUGAUAGCCUGUACUGGUGCCACAGCUCUACCCACAUAGCCCUGUACCCCUCCCAACCUGGGUCCAGCUCCUUUCUCCUCAUGUGCCUUGUGAUGAAUGCCACUGCCUUGCAAGAUUCCUCACCUGCAGCGACUCCAGAAGCAUUUUUCUUCUUUAAGUCUCUGCUCCACAGGCCACCCUCUUCCCCGCAUCAUUUCUCAUUUCUCACCGCGAAAAUCUCUCCUUUCUCUCUUUAUGGCUUCCUGAGACCUGAAAAGAGGUAA
rnacentral:lncRNA from 1 species